rnacentral:rRNA from 1 species
AACGAACGCUGGCGGCAUGCCUAACACAUGCAAGUCGAACGAACCCUUCGGGGUGAGUGGCGCACGGGUGCGUAACACGUGGGAACCUGCCCUUAGGUUCGGAAUAACAGUUAGAAAUGACUGCUAAUACCGGAUAAUGUCUUCGGACCAAAGAUUUAUCGCCUUUGGAUGGGCCCGCGUAGGAUUAGCUAGUUGGUGAGGUAAGGGCUCACCAAGGCGACGAUCCUUAGCUGGUCUUCGAGGAUGAUCAGCCACACUGGGACUGAGACACGGCCCAGACUCCUACGGGAGGCAGCAGUGGGGAAUAUUGGACAAUGGGCGAAAGCCUGAUCCAGCAAUGCCGCGUGAGUGAUGAAGGCCUUAGGGUUGUAAAGCUCUUUUACCUGGGAUGAUAAUGACAGUACCAGGAGAAUAAGCCCCGGCUAACUCCGUGCCAGCAGCCGCCGUAA